CCUACGGGAGGCUGCAGUCGAGAAUCAUUCACAAUGGGGGAAACCCUGAUGGUGCGAAGCCGCGUGGGGGAAUGAAGGUCUUCGGAUUGUAAACCCCUGUCAUGUGGGAGCAAAUUAAAAAGAUAGUACCACAAGAGGAAGAGACGGCUAACUCUGUGCCAGCAGCCGCGGUAAUACAGAGGUAUCAAGCGUUGUUCGGAAUCACUGGGCGUAAGGCGUGCGUAGGCGGUUUCGUAAGUCGUGUGUGAAAGGCGCGGGCUCAACCCGCGGACGGCACAUGAGACUGCCGGACUAGAGUAAUGGAGGGGGACCCGGAAUUCGCGGUGUAGCAGUGAAAUGCGUAGAUAUCGAGAGGAACACUCGUGGCGAAGGCGGGUUCCUGGACAUUAACUGACGCUGAGGCACGAAGGCCAGGGGAGCGAAAGGGAUUAGAUACCCUGGUAGUC
rnacentral:rRNA from 1 species